GACGAACGCUGGCGGCGUGCUUAACACAUGCAAGUCGAACGGUAAGGCUCCAGCUUGCUGGGGUACACGAGUGGCGAACGGGUGAGUAACACGUGGGUGACCUGCCCUGCACUUCGGGAUAAGCCUGGGAGACUGGGUCUAAUACCGGAUAGGACCGCACCGUGAGGGUGUGGUGGAAAGUUUUUUCGGUGUGGGAUGGGCCCGCGGCCUAUCAGCUUGUUGGUGGGGUAAUGGCCUACCAAGGCGGCGACGGGUAGCCGGCCUGAGAGGGUGGACGGCCACAUUGGGACUGAGACACGGCCCAGACUCCUACGGGAGGCAGCAGUGGGGAAUAUUGCACAAUGGGCGGAAGCCUGAUGCAGCGACGCCGCGUGGGGGAUGACGGCCUUCGGGUUGUAAACUCCUUUCACCAUCGACGAAGGGUUUCUGACGGUAGAUGGAGAAGAAGCACCGGCUAACUACGUGCCAGCAGCCGCGGUAAUACGUAGGGUGCGAGCGUUGUCCGGAAUUACUGGGCGUAAAGAGCUCGUAGGUGGUUUGUCGCGUCGUCUGUGAAAUUCCGGGGCUUAACUCCGGGCGUGCAGGCGAUACGGGCAUAACUUGAGUACUGUAGGGGAGACUGGAAUUCCUGGUGUAGCGGUGAAAUGCGCAGAUAUCAGGAGGAACACCGGUGGCGAAGGCGGGUCUCUGGGCAGUAACUGACGCUGAGGAGCGAAAGCAUGGGGAGCGAACAGGAUUAGAUACCCUGGUAGUCCAUGCCGUAAACGGUGGGCGCUAGGUGUGGGUUUCCUUCCACGGGAUCCGUGCCGUAGCUAACGCAUUAAGCGCCCCGCCUGGGGAGUACGGCCGCAAGGCUAAAACUCAAAGGAAUUGACGGGGGCCCGCACAAGCGGCGGAGCAUGUGGAUUAAUUCGAUGCAACGCGAAGAACCUUACCUGGGCUUGACAUAUACAGGAUCGCGCCAGAGAUGGUGUUUCCCUUGUGGCUUGUAUACAGGUGGUGCAUGGUUGUCGUCAGCUCGUGUCGUGAGAUGUUGGGUUAAGUCCCGCAACGAGCGCAACCCUUGUCUUAUGUUGCCAGCACGUUGUGGUGGGGACUCGUAAGAAACUGCCGGGGUUAACUCGGAGGAAGGUGGGGAUGACGUCAAAUCAUCAUGCCCCUUAUGUCCAGGGCUUCACACAUGCUACAAUGGUCGGUACAGUGGGUUGCCAGUCCGUGAGGGCGAGCUAAUCCCGCAAAGCCGGUCUCAGUUCGGAUCGGGGUCUGCAACUCGACCCCGUGAAGUCGGAGUCGCUAGUAAUCGCAGAUCAGCAACGCUGCGGUGAAUACGUUCCCGGGCCU
rnacentral:rRNA from 1 species